rnacentral:rRNA from 1 species
AACCUGCCUUUCUCUGCGGGACAACGGUUGGAAACGACCGCUAAUACCGCAUACGCCCUACGGGGGAAAGGUCAGCCGGAGAAAGAGGGGCCCGCGUUAGAUUAGUUAGUUGGUGGGGUAAUGGCCUACCAAGGCGACGAUCUAUAGCUGGUCUGAGAGGAUGAUCAGCCACACUGGGACUGAGACACGGCCCAGACUCCUACGGGAGGCAGCAGUGGGGAAUAUUGGACAAUGGGGGCAACCCUGAUCCAGCAAUGCCGCGUGUGUGAUGAAGGCCCUAGGGUUGUAAAGCACUUUCACUGGUGAAGAUGAUGACGGUAACCAGAGAAGAAGCCCCGGCUAACUUCGUGCCAGCAGCCGCGGUAAUACGAAGGGGGCGAGCGU